GUAGCUGUGAUCCCUGAGAAUGGAAUGGGAUGGAAUACAGGCAGUGUGAAUGUGAAGGUGGUUUUGCAAUCAGUGACUGACCUCCAGGUUCCACUGAAAGGUCAGGACCCCCACUCCUCACCCUCCAAUUACUUGCUGUCACCUACUACCUGUGGCAACAGUAACGACUGGGCACUUUGCCCGAGGGCAAGGAGCCUGACUGUGCCCAUUCAGAAGUGUAGCCCUGGAGAUGUCAGUGUCCCUGGGAGAGGGAGAUACCUGAGGAAACAGAGGGAAGUCUGACUGUGAUUUCAUGUCAUUGUCCGCUAUAAUCUGAGAAUGUUUCCUUUUUCAACAGGAUGGCAACUGGGGUAAAAACCCUCAACAUCCAGCAAGUACAGAGCCAAGGUGAUUUUUCAUCAUUUGGUGUCACGUCAUCUGGAAUUUCUCCAUUUGUGAGUGCUAAUGCAUAUGAAACCUCCAUGACCUCUUCAUCAAGCUUGAAAGCUCCUCUGUUUGUGAAGAAAACUGAGGUGGUGGAUGGAAUGACAGUUUCUUCAUCUGUAACUCCCUUGAUCUAGCAGGGAGGAAAACAUUCUAUCCAGUAUUUGUCUCACGUCUCAAUACAAAUAAUUUUCAUCUGUCAUCCAAGCCUUUGAUUUCAAUUCUGAUAAUCCUAGUUUUGCAUGUUUGGGGUAUCUUCUUAAAAUACUAACACUGGUGAACUUCCAAAUCCACAGUCCUUUUCAGCCUUCAGGCCUUUGUCAGUGAUGAAUUUGCCCCAAUCUAUUCACCUUCACAAACCAUAUUGAUCAAUCUGCCAUGUACUUACAGCAAGUUAUUUAUAACUGUGACAUGCGAUGUCAGUUGCAGUUUCUCAGAUUAUUUUUGGUUACUUUACCCAUUGCCUGACAUUAUAAGUUUUGCAUCAUGAAAAAUCACAUGUGUGCGCACAAUUUGGAAUUAACUGGUGGGAAUGGCUCACUAAUUCUUUGUUGUCACUGACUAAAGUCUUGAAAGGUAUCCAACUUCUAAAAGGCUCAUCGUUGGGUUUAACAGGCAACAAUUAUUGGGUUCGUUAAGAAAGACACCAAUGUUUUCUGUUCAGAACUGUUUCGUGUUGUGUAACUUCUUGUACCAGAUAAUUUUCUUUUCAUCACAGUCUGUGACAUACUGAAUAAAUUUGUUUUCUGCAAUUCAAAA